rnacentral:rRNA from 1 species
UGGGGAAUAUUGCACAAUGGGCGCAAGCCUGAUGCAGCGACGCCGCGUGCGGGAUGGAGGCCUUCGGGUUGUAAACCGCUUUUGUUCAAGGGCAAGGCACGGCUUCGGGCCGUGUUGAGUGGAUUGUUCGAAUAAGCACCGGCUAACUACGUGCCAGCAGCCGCGGUAAUACGUAGGGUGCGAGCGUUAUCCGGAUUUAUUGGGCGUAAAGGGCUCGUAGGCGGUUCGUCGCGUCCGGUGUGAAAGUCCAUCGCCUAACGGUGGAUCUGCGCCGGGUACGGGCGGGCUGGAGUGCGGUAGGGGAGACUGGAAUUCCUGGUGUAACGGUGGAAUGUGUAGAUAUCGGGAAGAACACCAAUGGCGAAGGCAGGUCUCUGGGCCGUUACUGACGCUGAGGAGCGAAAGCGUGGGGAGCGAACAGG